GCGGAAACAAAUCGAAGACGAAUCGGGCCUCGGUUGAGCCAGCCAGCCGGCCCCCACCCCACAGUCAAGCGAAUUACUCUUCCUGUCCCGUCUCCCGAGUCCCGACCCAACGCGCCGCCACGGCCACCGCCAAGCAAACCCGAACAGAAAACCCUAGAUCUGUCCGGACUUCCGCCGCCGCCUAGCAACCCCGAACCGAAAACCGUAGAUCCGUCCGAACCCUCGCGUGGCGAUGGCGUCCACGGCGGAGUUGCUCCUCCGUGCAUCAGGGGCAACGCUGUGGCUCCCUCUUCCAUCUCACUCCGCCCCCUACCCCAGCUCUUGUUCUGAGGACCUAGGCGAUCUCCUUGAUCAGCUGGAGGAAAUUGAACUCGACCACCAUAGCAAGCCGCCGCGCAUGGUCACCGAGUCACCUCCCUGUGAGAUUUCCUGGCGUGCCCUGGACCUCAAGUUCCCGUUGGAGGACAUGAAAAAGGCUGGAGCGACUGGAGCGAGGACGAUGGCCAAGUGAUUGACGGGGAGGAGACAGAUUGCCCAGUAAUUGUUCAGAGAAUAAACUAGUCAAUGGUGAUGAUGAUGACGACAACGGCUAGGUGAUAGACGGGGACACGAAGACGAACCGGGACAGGAAGAUAAACUGCCCAGGAAAGGACUACACCAAGAGCGAGGCAGUGGAUAUAGAGAUUGAAUACAUGGACAGGUACUGCGAGCGGAUGGGAGUCUACUUGGCAAUGCGUGACGCGAUUAUUGCCCCGGAAGACUAUGACACUCCUUUCCCUCCUUUUCCUCUUAAAGUGCUCCCUCCGGCAACAUCUGCAUGCUUCGUGGAUGGAUGCUGCUACCACAGUGUUUACAAGACCCAUGAUACUUCUACCACUCAUCUACUCUUGGAUAUCGCAGACCACAACGUAUGCUACAGUUCUUCUCUCUGUGUUUGUCAAGCUCUGGAGCCCUCAUAUCCCACUAGUGUAUAUGGAAUAUUUGCCGUUCGGGAUGACUUGGACAAGCGACGGAAUUAUGUCUUUAACUGUCCUAGAUAUGCUGCUGUUGGGAUUGGGAAGCAGGUGUUUCAGCUAGCAGGGGGUUUGUGCUCAAACUGUGGCAUGAGAACAUCAAGGGGUACUGGGUAUCAACCUUGCAAGUGUAUUUGGUGCUAAGAGUAUGUGAUGUCCUAUAUGAAGUGCGGCUAGUUGUAGUUUUUUGUGUUUUUCGUAGGGGUUAUUCUACGAUUUCAACAUUGUUACCGGACAGCUGGGAGUUGUUUCAGAGAUUUAGGCCUAGGUUAUAUCACUCUUUUGAAUGUUGCAGCAGGUUCAGAAUUUCAGAUGGAAGUUGGGCAGUUGAAUGUAAACUCGCCUCUGCAUGCCUCAUCAAUUUAGAUUUCUGGGUGCUCUCCAAUUCCUGAAUCUUCACCUCCUUCCUUUGAUAUCUGAACCCACCAUAACAUGUGCCUAGAAUUUUAUUUGAUAAUGGGUUUGAUGUGCCUUUUUUUUAUGCUUAUUUCCUAGUUGUUUUUUGUUCCUAGGUGAGAAUCUUUAGCUGGAAGUGCCAAUUUGUUUGCUUAUAUAUGUUAGGUUCGCUUUUGUAUCCAAUGUUUCACAUAUAGGGUGUUUAUUAAAGGAGUUGCUUACAAUACGGCCAAAGGUGUUCAUCGAGUGCUUGCUUGUAUUUCGCAAGUUCGAUUUUUUGCCUCUGCGGGUAAUUCUAACCACUUUGCAUAUAAUGCAUGUAGUUCUAUAAUUCCUCACCUAAUCAUCUUGUGAACAAUCAGUGUUCUAUAGAUUACAAAUAUUGUGAAUACACUGCUCUCUCCCACUUGCAAAAUUUUGUGGUGUUGACUGUAUUGUGGGUUAUGCAAUGUGCUCCAAUUUUCAGGCCCUUUUCUUGCAAUUUCCCAAUUGCACUGCCGCUUUAAUUUAAUUGCACUGCCGUUUUAAUUUAACUGCACUACUAACUUUUACAAUUCUAAUUGUACCUAAUUAGAAUUUACAUUUUUUGGGUCAGGUUUUUGAAUCUUAAUGUGUGACGAAAUUUUUGCACUACAAGAUAUGAUUAAAUCUGAACAGUUUUAGGUGUUUUGACCUUAUAAAAGUUUUGGGAAUCUGAAUUUUGAUCAACUUAGAACAAACUCUCUAAAUUUCUGUUUAGGGAUAAUGCUUUGGUAGAUACAUUAGCUGUUUUUUGUUCCAGAGCUUAAAGUUUUCAUUUCCUUAGUUGUUUGUUCUAUCCAGAAACUGGACCCACUAGCUGAAACUUAGAACACGGCCAUUUCUUUUGUUUGUGACCGUAAUUUUCUGCGGCUACUAAAAGUUGUAACACAAAAUGCCUCCAUUUUUAAUUUUUAAUUUUUGUCCUCAGUUAGCCCCUAGUCUCCAUUUUGAAUUUUGAAUUUGGACAUCAAUUGUUUGUGACCCUAUUGCAGUUCAACCCAUACUUUUUUAGCUAGUACUACUUUGGAUUCUAGCCUUUCCUAAGCACUAUCUAGGUCCUGUAAGAGUUCAUUAUGGUUAUUGUUUUUCUGUUUUAUCCAAAGUGGUUUAUCUUGUUCACUUCUUUUGAAUUGCGCUGCUGUUUAUAUAAAUAUGCACCCAUUGUAGUACUGCAAUCCUAUGGGUUCUGACUUUGCAAUUGUAAUUUAACCUGUACUUUUAGGCUAGCUAGUACUGCUUUGAAUUUUGGUCUUUUCUAAGCACUGUCUAGGUUCUAUAACAGUUAAUUAUGCUUACGGUUAUAUUUAUCAUUUUCCUAUAGCACAGGCAACUUAUAUUUUUUUAGAAAAGCAACCGGUAUGACGCCGUUGGAUCCGUGUGCCAAAAUUCGUGUUGAUUUUUGGUGGCCGGCUUUUUUCUUUUUUCUCCGGCCGCAUGUUUUUGAAAUCUGCGCUGCUUGUCUUUGUGCUGAGGUGUUCUCCUCAAGUUUUCUGGAAAGGGUGAGGCGGAGAGGCGAUUCUGAGACCCCCCUCGCCGGCAGCGAGUCGCGCGGGCCGCACUCCGUCUGGAUUCCUUUGCGUUACCUCUCUGUAGCCCUUGUCGAGGAAUGUAUGUACUGGAUCGGAUAUAGUUGAUCUCUGGUUAAAAAAAGAAGGGGAUGGAUCAGCUGACAAGCAUAUACUUUCUACCUAUGCUGAGAUUGAAGUACGUGCACAGGUUGAUGACAUGUUGGUUGGACGUAUCCCUGGUGAUGAUUGCAACUUGGACUUGGGAUUCAAGGUCCUUGCACAAUGUGUUGAGGCUGUAAUCGAAGUCUACGCAAAGGUUGACCAUCCUCAUCAUGUGAGGUUCACUGCUUUAAGGUGAUGAUGAGAUUGUGCUGUUCGAUGACGAAUUAUUUGGGAACGAGAAACAACUCCUACAUAUUAUCGCGGUGAAGAAAAAUGCAAAUUUGGAUGUUCUUCUAAGGGUGGAUGAAUCACAGUUUCAGUGGACUUUUCAGGAUGAAUCUGUUGGAGCCAUUGCCUCUCCCAACGACUCGAUCCUUGAGUAUGGCCAGUUUUUUGUGAGGGUGUCUUUUGCUCCAAAGAACUCCAAAUGAAGCCCAUGUUGAUGUUCUGACAAGCGAAGUCUGCCAUGUGUGAUGAAACAUAUAUUAUGCUUAGUAGCAUUUGAGUUUGUGUGCCCUGUGUGAGUAAUCUAGUAUGUUAAACCGCUGUAAACUUGAACAUGCUCUAUGCGACCAUAUCCUCCAUUCCUCUUCUUGCUUGCUUGGUCUAUGGAAUUUGGGAUGUUGUCGUUAAAUUAUCUUUGGUUUAAAAGUUAUUGUGCCUAA